UGACCGUUGUAUAUAGAUAGUGUGUUACAGUGCUAUGGGCAUACCUGGACUCUGUACUGUCUAGGGCACUUGCACAACACCCCAUAACUCUCCUGCAGUGUCCGUGCAACGCUCUCAGUCAGGCACCAAGGGCCUCAGCUUGCGGUGCAGUUCGUAGCGUGCUCGUCGCAGAGGAGUCCUCGGACUGAGGAUUUCUCAGCGGAGAGCUUGUGAACGGGCGUCCAAGAAGAGUUUCCGGAUCGAGGAGCUCUCAGUGGAGAUCCUGCAAACUAGAGAGCGGUUUUCUUUUCCCUCCCCCAAGGGGCUGUGCCCCUUGGACUGCAGCACAGCUUUGCUAAAGUGUUUUGGCAAAUCUGUGCUGCAGUUCAUGAGUUUGUGCUCCUUUCAUCAAAUUUUUAUUUUUCUCCAGACAGGCCCUGCCAGGUGAUGGAUUUCCCGAGAGACGGAAUCACCAGUGGAUAUGGAGGUGGACAGAGAGCAACCCGUCCUUCUCCUAAGGACGUGCCACCCAAGCUGGAGACUCCCAGAAAUCCGCCUCCUGUGUUCCGUUCCUUCCUGCAGUCCUGCCUGUACGGGAAUGUGAGGCCCCGAUGGCCUACCAGGCUGCUUCUGCAGGUACAGUGGCUGCAGGUGAAACAGCUGUCCAGGGAUGGGCUUUGUCAUCAGCUAAACUCAGAGGCAUCAGGAAGCCUCCUCUCCUACUAAUCCCCAGUCUUGGUGCUUUUCAAAUGACAACUAAGUAGCAUCCUAGAAUAGUUUAGCUUGGAAGGGUCCUUUAGG
rnacentral:lncRNA from 1 species